rnacentral:rRNA from 1 species
UAACGGCUGAACCAGCAACUUGGAGGAAUGUAUAGCUACGGCUAAUUGUGUAUAUCUACACGAUAUCGACUCUGUCGAAUAAAAUUCUGGGUAAAUUAUGAUGAUGACAUUUUUUACCUAUGUGUCUUGACCAAAUUGUGUGCCAGCAGUCGCGGUAAUACAUAGAAGACUAGUGUUAUUCAUCUUUAAUAGGUUUAAAGGGUACCUAGACGGUAGAUCAAGCCCUAGACGGGACUAAUUUGCUAGAGUUACUUAUGAGGGGGCUUUAAAGUACUAAUGGUGUAGAGAUAAAAUUUUGUAAUACCAUUUUUCGUAAAGAAAAAUUAUGGCACUGGUAAAGGUGAAAGCAUCCCCCUAUGUGAUAACUGACGUUGAAGGACGAAGGCUUUGGGUCGCGAAUAGGAUUAGAUACCCUAGUAGUCAAAGCAGAAAAUUAUGAGUGUCAUAGAUUAGAUAAUACAGUUUAUUCUAUAAAUGAAAGUGUAAGCACUCCACCUCAAGAGUAAUUUGGCAACAUUGGAACUGAAAUCAUUAGACCGUUUCUGAAACCAGUAGUGAAGUAUGUUGUUUAAUUCGAUGAUCCGCGAAAAACCUUACCACAAUUUGAAUAUGUAUACUUUUGAUAUAUUUACAAGCGUUGCACGGCUGUCUUCAGUUAAUGUCGUGAGACUUUGGUUAGAUCCAUUAAAUUAACGUAAGCCCUUACUUUAUUUUCAUAUAAAGUAGUUCUCCACCAUAUUGGACAAGAUAACAGGGACUAAGACAAGUCAUCAUGGCCUGAAUAUUGUGGGCUAUAGACGUGCCACAUAAACCUUUACAAAGGGAUG